GACGAACGCUGGCGGCGUGCCUAACACAUGCAAGUCGAACGGAAAGGCCCGGCUUUUGUGGGGUGCUCGAGGGGCGAACGGGUGAGUAACACGUGAGUACCCUGUCCUUGACUGUGGGAUAACUUCAGGCAACUGGAGCUAAUACCGCAUAGGAGCUCCUGCUGCAGGGUGGGGGUUGGUAAGUUUCGGCUGUUGGGGAUGGACUCGCGGCCUAUCAGCUUGUUGGUGGGGUAGUGGCUUACCAAGGCUAUGAGGGGUAGCCGUCCUGAGAGGGUCAGAGGACCCGCUGGGAUGGAGAUGCGGCACAGACUCGUACGGGAGGCGGCGGUGCGGUAGAGAAUAUUGUGGGAGGAAGCCUGGUGCGGCAACGCAGUGCGGGGGAUGACGGCCAUCGGGUUGUAAUGCGAAUUCGUCUUUGACGGAGCGUGAGUGACGGUACUGGGAAAAGAAGCACCGGCUAACUACGUG
rnacentral:rRNA from 1 species